rnacentral:rRNA from 1 species
ACUCCGGGAAACCGGGGCUAAUGCCGGAUAACAUUUAGAACCGCAUGGUUCUAAAGUGAAAGAUGGUUUUGCUAUCACUUAUAGAUGGACCCGCGCCGUAUUAGCUAGUUGGUAAGGUAACGGCUUACCAAGGCAACGAUACGUAGCCGACCUGAGAGGGUGAUCGGCCACACUGGAACUGAGACACGGUCCAGACUCCUACGGGAGGCAGCAGUAGGGAAUCUUCCGCAAUGGGCGAAAGCCUGACGGAGCAACGCCGCGUGAGUGAUGAAGGUCUUCGGAUCGUAAAACUCUGUUAUUAGGGAAGAACAAAUGUGUAAGUAACUAUGCACGUCUUGACGGUACCUAAUCAGAAAGCCACGGCUAACUACGUGCCAGCAGCCGCGGUAAUACGUAGGUGGCAAGCGUUAUCCGGAAUUAUUGGGCGUAAAGCGCGCGUAGGCGGUUUCUUAAGUCUGAUGUGAAAGCCCACGGCUCAACCGUGGAGGGUCAUUGGAAACUGGGAAACUUGAGUGCAGAAGAGGAAAGUGGAAUUCCAUGUGUAGCGGUGAAAUGCGCAGAGAUAUGGAGGAACACCA